CGACCGCUGGCGGCGUGCUUAACACAUGCAAGUCGAACGGAAAGGCCCUGCUUUUGUGGGGUGCUCGAGUGGCGAACGGGUGAGUAACACGUGAGUAACCUGCCCUUGACUUUGGGAUAACUUCAGGAAACUGGGGCUAAUACCGGAUAGGAGCUCCUGCUGCAUGGUGGGGGUUGGAAAGUUUCGGCGGUUGGGGAUGGACUCGCGGCUUAUCAGCUUGUUGGUGGGGUAGUGGCUUACCAAGGCUUUGACGGGUAGCCGGCCUGGGAGGGUGACCGGCCACAUUGGGACUGAGAUACGGCCCAGACUCCUACGGGAGGCAGCAGUGGGGAAUAUUGCACAAUGGGCUGAAGCCUGAUGCAGCAACGCCGCGUGCGGGAUGACGGCCUUCGGGUUGUAAACCGCUUUCGCCUGUGACGAAGCGUGAGUGACGGUAAUGGGUAAAGAAGCACCGGCUAACUACGUG
rnacentral:rRNA from 1 species